AUUCUUCCCUACUCUUUACGAUCCUGCAAUAAGAACAUGGUAGCCAUUUUGGAGCAGGAGAAAGAGAGACCACAAUAUACAAGGUGGAUUCUGUUAAAAGGAAAAAAGCCAUACGUGAUACUACAAAAAUUAGUUUGGUGGGAUUGCAUUGAAGCUUAUCAAAAUGUCUACAUUCCUGCUUCGCACACUAUAAUCUUACUUAUUUAUAUAUAAUCAGAACUGGCCACACUAGAUUGUAUAUGAAAUUAUUUAAAAUGUCUUCAAGUAUUUCUGAAGCACCAACCAUACUGAAUAAUAUGCCAUCGGCUGGAGUCGAAUCCGCGAACCUCAAAGAACGAAACCAACACGUUACCACAGACUGCAACAUAAUUACAGUAGAUAGGAUAAAACCAUACAUACCAUAAAUCAUGGUUAUUAUUCAUAAAAAAAAACAUCAUUAACUUCUUUUUACUUUAAAUAUUUCACCGCUGUACAAGUAAAAAGGGUUAAGAGCCGUUGAAAAAAUAUUAUAUUUACUAAUCGAGUAAAAGUAUUUUACAAUUCAGUAACUUGGCCAAACAUACACAUGUAGGAUGUAUAAAUUCUUCAUGAUUAUCAUAAACUACUGAAUUAUCAAAGUCUUCAAUGAUUUUAUAUUUAGAAAAUUGUUGUUUCAAAUCAUCGUAGUACUGAUCGAUAUUAGAAUGGUUUACGCUAGAAAUAGAUUUAUAUAAAACCACCAUUUCAAUGUUAUUAUAAUCUUGCAAGAAGGUUUUGAGUGAUUUUAGAGUAGUCAAUCGUUGAGGCUUCACAAUAUUCUUAUUAAUACGUUUAGGUAGCAAUGCAUGUUGCUUUCUUGUGGUAAAAACAUGAAUAUUCGAUGCAGUAAUUUUAAAAUUUUUCCUCCUGCUUUUUGUGAGGUUUGCGAAAAACAAAAUGUUACAGUAGUUGAUGUUAUCAGAUGAUUUUUGUACUUGAAUGAAAAGUAUCGAUUUGGUAGACAUGGCGAGAAACUUUAAUUAUCAGUUGAAUCUAGCCUACAUAGAUACUAUUCAAUGAAUAUCAAACUAAUGUAUUUCAAUCAAGCUAGUCGUUAAUUAAAAUCUAAUCCACAUGUAGCUUAUGACAAAUUGAUAUGAAUAAUGAUUCUAAUUAACUGUAGAAAAUUUUGUCAAA